UACGGAGGGUGCAAGCGUUAUCCGGAAUCACUGGGUUUAAAGGGUGCGUAGGCGGAAUAUUAAGUCAGUGGUGAAAGCCUGUCGCUUAACGAUAGAACUGCCAUUGAUACUGAUAUUCUUGAAUUGGGUUGAGGUUAGCGGAAUGUGACAUGUAGCGGUGAAAUGCAUAGAUAUGUCAUGGAACACCAAUUGCGAAGGCAGCUAGCUGGGCCUUGAUUGACGCUGAGGCACGAAAGCGUGGGUAGCGAACAGGAUUAGAUACCCUGGUAGUCCACGCCCUAAACGAUGCUAACUCGAUGUUUGGACUUAAGGUUUGAGCAUCCAAGGGAAACCGAUAAGUUAGCCACCUGGGGAGUACGACCGCAAGGUUGAA
rnacentral:rRNA from 1 species